UCCUGCCAAGGACAACUCAAUCAGAA
rnacentral:piRNA from 1 species